rnacentral:rRNA from 1 species
AACGAACGCUGGCGGCAUGCCUAACACAUGCAAGUCGAACGAGACCUUCGGGUCUAGUGGCGCACGGGUGCGUAACGCGUGGGAACCUGCCCUUAGGUUCGGAAUAACUCCCCGAAAGGGGUGCUAAUACCGGAUAAUGUCUUCGGACCAAAGAUUUAUCGCCUUGGAUGGGCCCGCGUUGGAUUAGCUAGUUGGUAGGGUAAAAGCCUACCAAGGCGACGAUCCAUAGCUGGUCUGAGAGGAUGAUCAGCCACACUGGGACUGAGACACGGCCCAGACUCCUACGGGAGGCAGCAGUGGGGAAUAUUGGACAAUGGGCGAAAGCCUGAUCCAGCAAUGCCGCGUGAGUGAUGAAGGCCUUAGGGUUGUAAAGCUCUUUUACCCGGGAUGAUAAUGACAGUACCGGGAGAAUAAGCGCCGGCUAACUCCGUG